CAGCCGCCGCGGUAAUACAGAGGGUGCGAGCGUUAAUCGGAUUUACUGGGCGUAAAGCGUGCGUAGGCGGCUUCUUAAGUCGGAUGUAAAAUCCCUGAGCUUAACUUAGGAAUUGCAUUCGAUACUGGGAAGCUAGAGUAUGGGAGAGGAUGGUAGAAUUCCAGGUGUAGCGGUGAAAUGCGUAGAGAUCUGGAGGAAUACCGAUGGCGAAGGCAGCCAUCUGGCCUAAUACUGACGCUGAGGUACGAAAGCAUGGGGAGCAAACAGGAUUAGAUACCCCCGUAGUCCCUGUCUCUUAUAA
rnacentral:rRNA from 1 species